AGCGAACGCUGGCGGCAGGCCUAACACAUGCAAGUCGAACGAACCCUUCGGGGUUAGUGGCGGACGGGUGAGUAACACGUGGGAACGUGCCUUUCGGUUCGGAAUCACUCAGGGAAACUUGUGCUAAUACCGAAUGUGCCCUUCGGGGGAAAGAUUUAUCGCCUUUAGAGCGGCCCGCGUCUGAUUAGCUAGUUGGUGAGGUAAUGGCUCACCAAGGCUACGAUCAGUAGCUGGUCUGAGAGGAUGACCAGCCACAUUGGGACUGAGACACGGCCCAAACUCCUACGGGAGGCAGCAGUGGGGAAUCUUGCGCAAUGGGCGAAAGCCUGACGCAGCCAUGCCGCGUGGAUGAUGAAGGUCUUAGGAUUGUAAAAUCCUUUCACUGGUGAAGAUAAUGACUGUAGCCGGAGAAGAAGCCCCGGCUAACUUCGUGCCAGCCGCCGCAGUAAGAC
rnacentral:rRNA from 1 species